rnacentral:rRNA from 1 species
UUCCCCUAGUAACGGCGAGUGAAGCGGGAAGAGCACAAAUUUAAAAUCUACCUGGUUUYCAGGUCGAGUUGUAAUUUGAAGAUACGUUUUUGACGUUCCGGGUUGGACUAAAUCCUUUGGGAUAAGGUAUCAUGGAGGGUGAGAAUCCCGUAUAUACCAACCAUAGGGAUGUUAUUUAAUACGUUUCUAAGAGUCGAGUUGUUUGGGAAUGCAGCUCUAAAUGGGUGGUAAAUUUCACCUAAUGCUAAAUAUAAGCGAGAGACCGAUAGCGAACAAGUACAGUGAUGGAAAGAUGAAAAGAACUUUGAAAAGAGAGUUAAAUAGUACGUGAAAUUGUUGAAAGGGAAACGAUUGAAGUCAGUCAUGCCNGUGGGAAUCAACUUAGRGGAAACUCUAAGUGCACUUCUUCGCUUGGCAGGUCAACGUCGAUUUUGGAUGUCAUAAAAUGAUUGGGGGAAGGUAGCUCCUUNGGGAGUGUUAUAGCCCUUGGUAGAUGUGAUGUCUGGRAUCGAGGAUUGCAAYGGAUACCCUUUGGGGCUAGCCGCCUGAUCUCUAAUURGUAUUGGRUUACGGAYAGCAUGCUGACCGUGAUCUAAUUAUUGGUUAAAAGGUUAGAG